rnacentral:sRNA from 1 species
GCCCGGUGUGGUGGCGCACACCUGUAAUCCCAGUGGCUUGGGAGGCUGAGGCAGGAGUAUUAUAAGUUUAAAUCCAGCCUCAG